CCUACGGGAGGCAGCAGCAGGGAAUAUUGUGCAAUGAGCGAAAGCUUGACACAGCGGCACCGCGUGUGGGAUGACGGUUCUAGGAUUGUAAACCACUUUCAGGAGGGAAGAAAAUGACGGUACCUCCACAAGAAGACCCGGCCAACUAUGUGCCAGCAGCCGCGGUAAUACAUAGGGGUCAAGCGUUGUCCGGAUUUAUUGGGCGUAAAGAGCUCGUAGGCGGUUCAACAAGUCGGUCGUAAAAGUUUAGGGCUCAACCCUAAAAUGUCGAUCGAUACUGUUGUGACUAGGAUACGGUAGAGGUGAAUGGAAUUCCGAGUGUAGCGGUGAAAUGCGUAGAUAUUCGGAGGAACACCAAUUGCGAAGGCAGUUCACUGGACCGUGAUCGACGCUGAGGAGCGAAAGCUAGGGGAGCAAACAGGAUUAGAUACCCUGGUAGUCCUAGCUGUAAACGAUGGAUACUAGAUGUAGGAACUGGAUUGACGGUUUCUGUAUCGUAGCUAACGCGUUAAGUAUCCCGCCUGGGGAGUACGGUCCCAAGACUAAAACUCAAAGGAAUUGACGGA
rnacentral:rRNA from 1 species